GAUGAACGCUGGCGGCGUGCUUAACACAUGCAAGUCGAACGAUGAAGCCCAGCUUGCUGGGUGGAUUAGUGGCGAACGGGUGAGUAACACGUGAGUAACCUGCCCUUGACUCUGGGAUAAGCCUGGGAAACUGGGUCUAAUACUGGAUAUGACUUCUCAUCGCAUGGUGGGGGGUGGAAAGAUUUAUUGGUCUUGGAUGGACUCGCGGCCUAUCAGCUUGUUGGUGAGGUAUUGGCUCACCAAGGCGACGACGGGUAGCCGGCCUGAGAGGGUGACCGGCCACACUGGGACUGAGACACGGCCCAGACUCCUACGGGAGGCAGCAGUGGGGAAUAUUGCACAAUGGGCGCAAGCCUGAUGCAGCGACGCCGCGUGAGGGAUGACGGCCUUCGGGUUGUAAACCUCUUUCAGUAGGGAAGAAGCGAGAGUGACGGUACCUGCAGAAGAAGCGCCGGCUAACUACGUG
rnacentral:rRNA from 1 species